UACAGAGGUCCCAAGCGUUGUUCUGAUUCCCUGGGCGUAAAGGGUGCGUAGGUGGUGAGGUAAGUUUGAUGUGAAAUCUCCGGGCUCAACCCGGAAAUGGCAUUGAAUACUAUCUCGCUUGAGAGUCGGAGGGGGGACUGGAAUACUUGGUGUAGCAGUGAAAUGCGUAGAUAUCAAGUGGAACACCAGUGGCGAAGGCGAGUCCCUGGACGACUUCUGACACUGAGGCACGAAAGCUAGGGGAGCAAACAGG
rnacentral:rRNA from 1 species